GAACCCUUGGAGAGAUCCAUUGCAUUUUAUUGAUGUAAAUGGACGCCGAAGGCGCAAAAGAGCGGUCGAUUUUUUCGAUUGUUUUCCAAACGCUCAGGCAAAAGGACAGGGGCAAA
rnacentral:ncRNA from 1 species